CCCCUGGCACCAGACCCAAAGAGGCAAUGUCAUCAUUGGGGGUCUUUACAAAUUAUGCAAAGUCCCCAAACAUUGAGAGUGCCACUUUAAGAUAACAGCCAAGCUGCAUCUAUAGCGCAGUUAGAGAAUUAUCAAAACACGUUAUUUUUUUUUUGCCUACAUUUUGCAAUUCCCUGUUUAAGGUAUACACCCCGGCUUUUAUUCUUUACACCAAUCAGCUAGGGUAUCCUAACAUGAGCGGUCUAAAACAGCCCUCACAAAAGAAAAUGUA